AGAAGAGCAAGAGGGUCCUGGGGGAUGAAGGGGCCUCCCCACCACCCUCGUGGAGUGGAUUUUUGAUGGGAGAACACGGAGCCGACCAGUGAAAACAAUGAAGAGCCACGUUCUCGGUUGCAGGCCGGGUUCCCAGGGAAGCAGUGUCUGAGAGGUCUAUUUGUGUGCAGGAGGUUCGUUCGGGAGUGCCUUGGGGGAUGACACCCAGGAGGGCAUCAGGGAUCGAAGGAAGCAGCAACGCAUGUUGGGAGAAAUAUAACUGCCACACAGUUGCAAAAAGAUGCCUCAAGGGAUGCCAGGAUUGGGGAGCCGGUGGUGGAGAGAGCUCGGGAGCUACAACGUCCGUUGCAUCCUUCUUUUCCUACCCCACCCCAGCCAGGGGAGCAGAGAAAGGUGUGGAAUUAGGUUUGGCCAAUCCCAUGCCGUCAUCCAGGAUUGGAUCCUUCAGUAGCAGGAAGCCGUGGUUAUGGGUAGUUGGAGGCCAUACUGACUGUUGAGGAAUAGGGAAAGGCAGAGGGCCCACUCCAGCAGCGGACAUCUGCUAAAGAUCCCACUGCCCAAUUCCCUACCACCGGUACCCUGGGUUGUGGCUCAUUUUGGAAAACUUUCCUCCAAAUAUCCCGGAUCUCCUAGAAUCCUUACAAUAAGCCCCCCUUCGGGACUAAGUCAGCCAGAGUCAAUAUUUGGUCUUUGCAGCCCCAAAGCCGCUAAUCUCAGGGCACCUCUAAGAUGGUUCAUUGAAAGAAGAAUGUCAGGGUGUGACUGUGUUUUUAAACACACCGUGGAGCCCAGUAGAUGAGAUAUAAGCAGGAAGCAGUUUUAUUCUUUCUCACAACUGCCCUUUUCCAACCAGCUCUGGGGACUUGUGUCUCCCCAUCCUUUAGACAGAUCUCAUGGUUUUUGGUCACUUUCUGGUGGAGGAAGCAGGUCACUGGGUAAAGCAGAGGAAAAUGGGGCUCCUAAAACGGACCUAACGGAGCAUCUCCAGACAUUGCCCACUCCUUGCCUUGGCUCCUCAUUGUACCGGUAGAGGAACUGAGGCCCAGAGAGGGAAAGUGACUUACUGGGUGUAACUCAGCACAGAGGUGGAGGACAAGAGGGAACUGCAUUGGUCUGUCGCGGACAGGGCAUGGUACUGGGCAAAGCUUGCCCUGCUCUUGCAUGGCUCCAGGUGGAUCCCACUCUUCAUGGCCAUCUGAAUUUGUGGGACUGGUUCAUUGGUGAUGUUUAUCUUCCAGAUAUUGUUGUUCUGGAGCAGCCGAAGGACCACAUGACCCAGAAGAAGGCCAAGACCAGGGUUUUAAUCUUAGGGCAAGGACAUCAACUCGUUCUCCUCCGCAAAACGGAAAUAACACAGAAUGAGGUUCAUCAUCAGUUCAAAGGUAACCGAUGCUCAGAGAGGGGAAGGUAACCUGGGAAAUUCCCACAGCUCAGAACCCAAGUGUGGCGGGUCUUUUGCAAGAAUGGUUCCAAUCCUCAACCAAUCUCCAUACCUGUACCGUUUAAAAAAAAAUUUGGUGGGGCGCCUGGGUGGCGCAGUCGGUUAAGCAUCCGACUUCAGCCAGGUCACGAUCUCGCGGUCCGUGAGUUCGAGCCCCGCGUCGGGCUCUGGGCUGAUGGCUCGGAGCCUGGAGCCUGUUUCCGAUUCUGUGUCUCCCUCUCUCUCUGCCCCUCCCCCAUUCAUGCUCUGCCUCUCUCUGUCCCAAAAAUAAAUAAACGUUGCAAAAAAAAAUUUAAAAAAAAACCUUGGUAAAAUACACAUAACGUAAAGUUGACCAUCUUAACUAUUUUUAAUCGUACAGUUUGGUAGUGCCGAGUGCCUUCACAUUGUUGUGCAGCCAUUCUCUAGAACUCUCCACCUUUACAAGGUUCAGUUUUACAAGCUGAAACUCUACCUGGUAAACAACACCUCUCCAUGCCCCCCCACCCCGUCCCCCAGCCCUGGCACGUGGCAGGGUUUCGCUUUUUAGGGCUGAAUAAUAUUCUGUUGUGCGCAUAUGUCACAUUUUGUUUAUCUGUCAAUGGCCACUUGAGUUGCUUCCACCUUUUUGACUAUUGUGAAUAAUGCCACUAGGAACAUAAAUGGACAGAUACCUCUUCAAGGCCUUGCUUUCUUGUGUUUGGAGUAUAUACCCAGAGGUGGGAUUGCUGGGUCAAUUUUUGGAGGAACCACCCUGCCGUUUUCCACAGUGGCUGCGCCAUUUUACAUUCCCACCAACAGCGUACAAGGGUUCCAAUGUCUUCGUGUUCUUGCCAACACUUAUUAUUUUCUGUCAUUCUCCUAGUAGCCAGCCUGAUGCGUGUGAGGCGGUACCUCAUUAUGCUUUUGAUACGCGUUUCCCUAGUCUGUGCCUUUUGCAGUGUGAUGUGGGGAACCCUCCCAUCAAGAGGUGGAGUCUGUGCUGGUUUAUGCUUUGCUUUGGUGGUUACUGGUGGUUAUUUUCCGUGGCAAGCCUGGACCAAAAGAGGCCCCACACGCGUCUGCUCUCUCCCUGGAACCUGCCCAGCUACCGUGUCAACAGGCCCAGGCUAGCCUGCUGGAGGAUGAGAGACGUGUGGCCCAGUUAUUCCUGUUGCCCCAGCCGACAGCUGGCCAACUGUCAGGCGUGUCCACGUGGCCAUGCUAGACGUGCCAGCCCAGCCAAGCGGUCACUUGCACCUCGGAGGAGCCAAGCCUGGUUCACGUCAGAGCCGCCCAGCUGCCCCAUCGAGUCACGAGCAAUAAAUGAUUGGGUUUUGUUGUUUUUUAAGCCACUAAGUUUGAGAAUGGCUUGCUGUGUAACGAUUGCUCACUGAUAUAUCGGUGUCCGAGCUCCUGCCCUGGGGUUUGAUUCUCCACUUUCCAUGGACUGGGACUCUCCUGAUUUAGGACAGGUGAAACUUUUACCUAAUUCCUGGAAGAGAAGACCAGCUCCUUCUCUGGCAUCUAGCCCACAGAGGUGGAGGGACUCUUUUGGAAUACCAGUCUUUCCCCCCCACCCCCUAGUUCUAUCGAGAUCCAAUUGACCCACAUCAGCGUAUGAGUUUCAGGCAUGUGGUAUGAAGGCUUGACUUCCAUAUAUUUUGAGAUGAUCACUACAAUACGUUUAGUUAACAUCCAUCACCUCACCUCACGUAGAUACAAUAAAAAGAAAUAGGGAAAAAAAAGAAAAAGAAUUUCUCCUUGUGACGAGAAUUCUUGGUUCUUAACAACUUUCAGAUAUAUCACACGGUGGUGGUUAACUACAGUCAUCGUAAUGUUUAUCACAGCCCUCGUAUUUAUUUAUCUUACACCUGGAGGUUUGUACCUUUUUUCCACCUUCUUCCAGUCCCCCCUCCCUACCCUCUGCCUCGGGUGACCACAAAUCUUUUCCUAUAAGAUUUCUUGUUUUUUUGUGGUUUUGAGAUUCCACAUAUAACAUACAUCAUACAGUAUUUGUCUUUCUCUGACUCAUUUUGCUGAGCAUAGUACCCCCAGGGUCCAGGCAUGUGGUCUUGUUUUUUAAUGACUGAGGAAUAUUCCAUUGUGUAUAUGUUUACUCAUGUCUUCUACCCAUUUCUUAACUGGAUUAUUUGUUUCUUUCUUUCUCUUUCUUUUUUCUUUUCUUUUUUUUUUUUUUUUGUGUUUUGAGUUUGAUAAGUUCUUUACAGAUUUUUGGAUGCUAACCCUUUAUCAGAUAUAUCAUUUGCAAGUAUCUUCUUCCAUUCCUUAGGCUGCCUUUUCAUUUUGUGGAUUGUUUCCUUUGCUGUGCGGAAGUUUUUCAUCUUGAUGAAGUCUCAAUAGUUCGUUUUUGCUUUUGUUUCCCUUACCUCCUAUAUGCACAACCUCUUUAUCCAUUCAUCUGUUGAUGGACACUUAGGUUGUUUCCAUGUCUUGGCUAUUGUGAAUACUGCUACACUGAAUGUGAAGAUAUGUUUUCAAGUUAGUGAUUUCAUUUCCUUUGGAUAUUUUCCCAGAAGUAGAAUUGCUGGAUCAUAUGGUCGUUCUAUUUUUGAUUUUCUGAAGAACCUUUACUGUUUUCCAUAGUGGCUGAAUUAAUUUACAUUUCUACCAAUAGUACACAAGGGUCCCCUUUUCUUCACAUAUCCACCAGUGUUUGUUAUCUCUUGUCUUUUUGGUGAUGGCCAUUCUAACAGGUAUGAAGCCAUAUCCCUCUUGGUUUUGAUUUGCAUUUCCCUAACAGCUAGCAAUGUUGAGCAUCUUUUCAGGUUCCUGUUGGCCAUUCAUAUAUCUUCUUUGGAAAUGUCUAUUCAGGUUUUUUGCUCCUUUUUUUUUUUGUUUGUUUGUUUAUAUUUAUUUUUGAGAGAGACAGAGCAUGAGCAGGGGAGGGGCAGAGAGAGAGGGAGACACAAAAUCCAAAGCAGGCUUCAGGCUCUGAGCUGUCAGCACAGAGCCAGAUGUGGGGCUCGAACUCGUCAACCACGAGAUCAUGACCUGAGCUGAAGUCGACACUCAACCGACUGAGCCACCCAAGCGCCCCAGCUCCUUUUGUUUUUUUAAGCAAGCUCUAUGCUCAACAUGAACCCAUGACCCCAAGAUCAAGAGUUGCAUGUUUCACCGACUGGGCCAGCCAGGCACCCCAUUUGCUUUUUUUUUUUUUUUAAAGCUAAGUUUUAAAAAUUUAUUUACUGAGAGAGAGAGAGAGAGAGAGAGAGAGAGAGAGAGUGGGGGAGGGGCAGAGAAAGAGAGGGAGAGAGAGACUCCCAAACGGGGUCUGCACUGUCAGCACAGUGCCUGACGCAGGGCUCGGUCCCACAAACUGUGAGAUCAUAACCUGAGCCGAGAUCAAGAUCCAAACACUUAAUGCACUGAGCCACCCAGGCACCCCUGCUCCUUUCUUAAUUGGAUUUUUAAAAAAAUUAUUAUUGCUAUGUUUGCUAUUGAGUUAUAUGACUUCUUUAUAUUUUUUGGAUAUUAUCCCCUUAUCAGGUAUGUGGUUUGCAGAUAUUGUUUUUUUCCAUUCUGUAGGUUGUCUUUUCACUUUUCGCUUCGUUGAUGGUUUCUUUUGCUCUGCAGAAACUUUUCAGUCUGAUGUAAUCCUGCCUGUGUAUUUUUAUUUAUUUUUUAAAAUUUUUUCAACAUUUCUAUAUUUUUGAGAGAAAGAGAGAGGCAGAGCGUGAGCAGGGUAGGGGGAGAAAGAGAGCUACAGAAUCCGAAGCAGGCUCCAGGCUCUGAGCUGUCAGCACAGAGCCCGACACAGGGCUUGAACUCACGAACUGUGAGACCAUGACCUGAGCUGAAGUCAGAAGCUCAACCGACUGAGCCACCCAGGCGCCCCUUGCCUGUGUAUUUUUAAUAUUGCUGCUCGUCAUAUCCAAAAAGUCAUCACCAAUGGCCAUGUCAAGGAGCUUUUUUCUAUAUUUUCUUCUAGAAGUUUCAUGGCUUCAGGUCUCAUAUUUAAGUCUUUAAUCCAUUGUGAGUUAAUUUUUGUGCAUGGUGUAAGAUAAGGACCUAGUUUCAUGCUUUUACAUGUGAAUAUCCAAUUUUCCCAGCACCAUUCAUUGAAGAGACUAUCUUUUCUCCACUGAAUAUUCUUGGCUCCCUUGUCCCUCCAAAUAUUAGUUGACUGAAUAUACUUGGGCUUAUUUCUGGGCUCUCUGGAAUCUCAGUAUUUUUUUUUAAUGUUUAUUUAUUUAUUUUGAGAGAGAGAGAGAGAGAACACGCUGUCAUGAACUGUGAGAUCAUGACCUGAGCCAAAAUCAAGAGUCAGACGCUCAACCAGCUGAGCUGCCCAGGCACCCCUGGAAUCCCAGUCUUAAUUACUGCCCUUAAUGGGAUGCCUUUGGUUCAGUCCUCAUGUGGGCCUCAGGACCCAUCACGUACUUAUCUUCCUUGUCUCCCCAGAAGGCAGGCAGUCAUUAACCAAGCAUGACUGAGGUCCAUGCCAACUUCUGUGUGCCCUUUUGAAGGUGAAUGAAAGUGAGGAAAGAGAACAUACUUCCCCAUAGGUGGCUGCUUCCAGUUUUGAGACCCUCCACGGGGGCUGGAGAGAUCUUUACUGUUACUAGGCCCCCAGGUGGAUCCAAGAUGCAGCCUGGUCUGGGAACCAAAGUCAGGAUGCCUGUGGAAAGGCUCAAGCAGGUGAGACACCAGGUCAGAUCCAUGUUUUAGAAUGAUUCCUCCUGGUGGCCAGCAUGCUCACUGGGUUAACAGGCCUCCCCCGCCACACCCUGCCCCCUUCACCAUCCUCCCAGGUAGAGUCAGGCCUUGGCCCUGAUGGUCUCCCAUGGGCCCCUGAGGUACUCUUGUGGCACGCACCCACACAUUCGCCAUCUCCUUCACCAGCCCACAGGCUCACAGAGGUCUCCCAGUAGCUAGCACAGGACCUAGAACAGGUCGUGGUGACAAAGAGCACAGCCCGCCCCCAUCAGACUCCCAGGAUUCCGCGCCCGUACCUGCCGUCCCACCCUGAAAAUCGUGGGCGGGGGUCCAGCCGUUCUAUAGGCUUACAGAUGUGUUUUCUCAUCUGUAAAGUGGGAAUGGGAAUGGCACCUGCUUCACCGUGUGCUGUGAGGUUUCAACAGCUUCCUGCAGGAAAUGAUACAUGGGCAUGCGCUGGGGUCCUCACGUGUCUUGCUGAUUCAUCAUUAAAAUAAAAUUUGAAAUCUGAAUUCAGGUAUAAUGCACAGACCUAAAAUAUAUAUUGUCUUCAUUUGCCAAAUCAUGGUGUGGAGCCCGUCCCACUUCAGAAAGUUGUCCUUUUCUGAUGAAUUUCCCUCCCCACUAGGGGCCACCACUGCUCUGAUUUCUAAAAGGAUAGAUUGACUUUCGUCUGUUCUUGAACUUUGAGGAAACGGAGGCAUACAGAUUGCACUGUUUUUGUGUCUGGCUUCUCUCAUUCAGCAUUACGCCUGUGGAGUUCGUGACUUCACGUUUAUUACGGACUGACAUUCCAUUUCCUGAAUACACCACUAUUUCUGUGUCCUCCUGUUGCCAGACAGUUGGGUCACUUCCAGCCUGGAGCAAAGAGGAAUAAGCCUCCUGUGAACAGUCGUGUGCAAGACGGGUGUGGGGGACAUAUCUUUUUACUUGGGUAAACACCUAGUGGCGGAGUUGCUGGGUAUAAGCAAUUGUAUAAUUAAUUGUAUAAGCAGCCGCCAAACAGUCCUCCAAAGCAGUUUUGUCCCCACCAGCAAGGAAGGAGGGUUCCAGCUGUUCCACAACCUUGGGGACAUUUGGGGUUGUCACUCAUAUUUGUUUUAGUUGGUCUGCUGGGUGGGAAAUGAUGUCUCACUGUGGCAUUACUUUACAUUUCUCUGAUGAAUGAUGGCGGGCACUUUUUCAUGUACUUAUUGGCCAUUUGUGUAUCUUCUUUUAUGAAGUGUCUGCUCAUUUUUACCCACUUUUUUUUUUCAAACUAGGUUGUUUGUCUUUCCAGUAUUAAUUUGCUAGAGUUUUUUUUUUUUAAUUUUUUUCAACGUUUUUUAUUUAUUUUUGGGACAGAGAGAGACAGAGCAUGAAUGGGGGAGGGGCAGAGAGAGAGGGAGACACAGAAUCGGAAACAGGCUCCAGGCUCCGAGCUGUCAGCCCAGAGCCUGACGCGGGGCUCGGACUCACGGACCGCGAGAUCGUAACCUGGCUGAAGUCGGACGCUUAACCGACUGCGCCACCCAGGCGCCCCAAGUUUUUUUUUUUUUUAAUAUAUUCCAGAAGCAAUUCCUUUGUCAGAUAUAAGUGUUGAGAAUAUUUUCUCCCAGUUUAUGUCUUGCCUGUUCCCUUUUUUUCCCCUUUGGCGUGUAAUUGAUAAAUAAUAAACGGCAGGUAUUUAAAGCAUAUAAACUGAUACAUUUUGAUAUAUACAUUUAUAAAUAUAUGGAAACACUGUGAAAACCAUCAUCAUAAUUCAGACACUAAAUACAUCUGUCACCCCCAAAAGUUUGGUGGUGCUGCUUUGUGAUUCUUUCCUCCUGUGCCCCCCAUCUCCUGCCACCCAGCCCCAGACACCCAUUUAUCUACUUUCUGUUACUACAAAUGAGUUUAUACUGUCUAGAUUAAAAAAAUUUUUUUUAACAUUUAUUCAUUUUUGAGAGAGAGCGAGACAGAGUGCAAGCAAGAGAGAGACAGAGAGAGAGGGAGACACAGAAUCUGAAGCAGGCUCCAGGCUCUGAGCUGUCAUCUCAAAGCCCGACAUGGGGCUCAAACCCACCAACCGAAAGAUCAUGACCUGAGCCAAAGUCAGAUGCUUAAUCGACUGAGCCACCCAGGCGCCCCUGUGUUGUCUAGAUUUUCGUAUAAAUGGAACCAUAGAGUAUGACUCUUUUUAUGUCUGGCUUUUUUCACUCAGUAAAAUUAUUUUGAAAUUCAUCCGUGGUAUAGUAUGUGUCAAUACCUCAUUCAUUUUUACUGCUGAAAUGUACUCCAUUGUAUGGAUACACUACUCCUUGUUUAUCCCUUUUUCUGUUGGUGGACAUUUGGAUUAUUUUUAGUUUUUUGGCUGUAUCAACCAAAGCCCCUAUGAACAUUCAUAUACAAGUCUUUGUGAGACAUAUAAUUUCUUUUUCUGGGUAAAUGCCUAACAGUAGGAUUGCAGUGAGAUUGCCAAAACAUGUAGCAGGUGUAUGUUUGACUUUUAAAAAUUUUUUUUUUCAACGUUUAUUUAUUUUUGGGACAGAGAGAGACAGAGCAUGAACGGGGGAGGGGCAAAGAGAGAGGGAGACACAGAAUCGGAAGCAGGCUCCAGGCUCUGGGCCAUCAUCAGCCCAGAGCCCGACGCGGGGCUCGAACUCACGGACCGCGAGAUCGUGACCUGGCUGAAGUCGGACACUUAACCGACUGCGCCACCCAGGCGCCCCUAUGUUUGACUUUUUAAAAACUGCCAAACUGGGGGUGCCUGGCUGGCUCAGUCAGGGGAGUGUGCAACUUUUGAUCUUGGGGGUGUCAGUUCGAGUCCCACAUUGGGCAUAGAGAUGACUUAAAAAGAUUUUUUUUUUUUAAUUUUUAAAAACUGCCAAACUGAUUUCCAAAGUGGUUGUGACAUUUUACAUUCCUGCCAGCAUAGGAUUCCAAUCCCACUGCAUCCACCCCAACAUUUGGUGGUCCUUUUCAUCGCAGCCAUUCCAAUAGGUAUGUAAUGGUAGCUCAAUGAGGUUUUCAUUUCUUUAAUGAUUAAUUAAAGAAAUUUCAUUUCUUUAAUGAUUAAUAACGUUGAGUGUCUUUUCAGGUACUUAUUUGUCACCCGUUUAUCUUGGGUGAAGUGUUUGUUCAAAUCUCUCAUGUAUUUUUUUUAGUGGAGUUUUCUUAUUGAGUUUUGAGGGUUCUUUAUGUGUUCUGAAUACACAGUCCUUUAUCAGAUACAUGAUUUGCAAAUACCUUCUCCUGGUCUGUGGAUUCUUUUCAUUCUCUUACCAGAGUCUUCAAAGAGCAGAGAUUUUAAGUUUUGAUGAAGGCCAGUUUAUCCAUUUUUUUUCUUGUUUGGUUUUGUUAUUUAGAAAUAUCUGCCUGCCCCAGGGUCACAAAAGUAUGUUCCUGUGUUUUCCUGUAGAAGGUUUAUGGUUCCAGCCACAAUAGAUUGCACAUUAUUUUUUAUGUAUGGAUUUGAUUACUCCAUUGUUAUAGCGUCAUUCAUUAAAAAGUUUUCAUCUCUUACUUGAAUUAUCUUUAUAUAAGAUAUCUUUAUAAGGACAAAGUAUCUUUGUAAAGGGUCUAUUUCUGGACCGUCUUUGUUCUACAGAUCUAUCUGUCUGCUCUUAUGUCAGUAUCAUAAAUGCUUGACUACAGAAAGCUUGAUUGCUAGCUUUAUAGUGAGUCUUUCAGAAGUUUAAGUCCUCUGAACUUGUUCUUCAGAAUUGUUUUGGCUAUCCUAGACCCCUUGCAUUUUCAUACACAUUUUAGGAUCAGCUUGUCAAUAUCUACUAACCAGUUUUGUUGGUUUUAUUGUUUCCUUGGAUUCGUGUUGAAAUUUCAGGUGAAUUUGGAAAAAAAAUUUUCGGUCCUCUAACGGAUGAACAUAGUGGUGUAUCUGCCCAUUUAUUUAAAUCUUUAAUUUCUCUCACCAUUGUUCUGUAGUUUCCAGUGUAGAGAUCAUACCCCUAUUUCAUUAAAUUCAUUUCUAAAUAUUUUAUGUUUUCGUUGCUAUUACAAAUGGUGUCCUUUUACAUUCUCUUCUACUUACUUGUUGCUAGUAUAUAUAAACACGAGUUUUAUGUAUCGAUCUUGUAUUCUGAAGGCUUGCUAAAUUCACUUAAUUUUUCUAGUUUUUUUUUAUUUUGCUUAUUAAGAUUCUUAAGUUUUCUGAAUACAGGAUCAUGUUGCCUGUGAAUAGAAACAGCUUUAUUUCUUCCUUCCAGUAUGUAUUUUGUUGUUGUUAUUGUUGUUACCUGUGAGAAAUAGGCCCACCGACCUAAUCAAAGGAGGGACACAGACACUCAGAGCACAGUGAAGCGAGACUUUAAUCAACAUUCUUGCAAAAGCAGGUAUCUGAUGGACAGACACACUCGGGGCAGUUAUAGCAGACAAUUUAUCUCCUAGCGUGCAAGUCCCUCCCCUGAUUCCUCAUUGGCUGAGCACUAGAGAGGUAAGUCCCUCCCCUGGUUCCUCAUUGGCUGAGUACUACAGAGCUUACAGCCUUACCUGGAUGUCACCUAUGCCCAUGUAAGGCAAAAAGUAGUCUGAUUGGAACAAAUGUACAUUCCCUGAGGUGAGGCACAGACUCAGUCCCUCCUCCCUUUGUUCUUUGGUGUAUGCUCAUUGCAGAGCCCAUGAAAACAACCUGGUGAAAAUAAGCCCAGGAAAUGGACAGGGGAAGAAGAAGCAGGAAGUGAAGUGUCUAAGGGUUUGGGACUCCAUUGUGUGUGUAUGCGUGUGUAUGCGUGUGUGUUGGGGGGGGGGGGUUGGUUGUACAUAUUUCCAUUAGGUUGUAAAUCUACUGGUAACUAGGCAGCACAGCUUCUAUUUGAUAUUUCUGAGAAUGAAUCCCUCCCUUACUUCUCCCUUCUGAAAAUGAAUCCUUCUCCCUUACAUUACCUUGCUGCACGGGACUAGAACUUCUGGAACGAUGUUGAAUAGAAGCGAUAAGAUUAGACAUCCUUGUCUUUUUGCUGAGAUGGAGAAGAGCCUUCUGUGUUUCAGUAUUUACAAGUUUCACCAACAACAAACAUGUUGGUAACUGAAUGCAUUUCAUGCUGCACCUUAUUAGCCUGAAGAUGUUUCCUUUUCUUCCUACUUUGCUGACAGUUGUUAUCACAGAUGGGUAUUGAACGUUCUCAAAUGCUUUUUUCUGCCUCAGUGAGAUGGUCCCAAUAUCUUCCCCUUUUAUCUUGUUAAUGUGAUGAUGUGUAUUGACUGAGUUUUGAAUGAUAAACCAAAUUCGCAUUCCUGGGAUAAGGCCCUGGCUUCUAUUCUCCCAAUAUUUUGGUAAGGAUGUUUAUGUUUCUAGUUAAGAGGGAUAUUAAUCUGUAAUUUUCUCUUCUUGUGAUGUUUGGUGUCAGAAUUAUGUUGGCCCACUAAAAAGAGUAGGGAAGCAUUCUCACCUCCUCUAUGUUCUGGAAGAGAUUGUGUAAAUUAGAAUUAUUUCGUCCCUAAAUGUGUGAUAGAAUUCCCACUGGGAAGCCAUCUUGUCCUGGAAUUUUCUUUGCGGGAAAGUUUUUUUUUUUUUUUUUUCAACGUUUAUUUAUUUUUGGGACAGAGAGAGACAGAGCAUGAACGGGGGAGGGGCAGAGAGAGAGGGAGACACAGAAUCGGAAACAGGCUCCAGGCUCUGAGCCAUCAGCCCAGAGCCUGACGCGGGGCUCGAACUCACAGACUGCGAGAUCGUGACCUGGCUGAAGUCGGACGCUUAACCGACUGCGCCACCCAGGCGCCCCUCAUUCAGAGUUUUAAUUUCUUUUUUUUUUUUCUGUUUUGGUUAGUUGUGUUUUUCAAGGAAUUUGUUAAUUUCAUCUAGGUUGCCGAAUUUAUUAGCAUAAGUUGUUCCUGAUAUUGAAAACUUUAACAUCUCCUUUCAGUGGACAAGAAAGUAAAAUGAAACAUCAUGAAGAUAUAGAAUAUUUAAAUAAUACUAUCAACAAACACGUCCGAAUUGGUAUUUGUAAACUAUUAUACCAAAUACUUGUAGGAUACACAUUCUUUUCAUGUGUCGUGAAGUAUUCACCGCAUAUAUACCACAUGCUAGACCCUAAAACAAGUCUCAAAAAUUGUAUUAAAUCAGACAUUAAUCAAAAUAAGCUAUUCUUCAUACCCACUAUGAUGGACACAAUAAAGAGAAAAACAGAAGCUAACAAGUGUUGCCGAGGAUGUAGGGAAGUUGGAACCCUUAUGUGCUAUUGAUGGGAAUGCAAUCGAAAGCAGGGCCUCAAAGGUGGUAUUUGCACACCCAUGUUUUUUUUAAAUUUUCUUAACAUUUUAUUUAUUUUUGAGACACAGAGAGAGAGAGCAUGAGCAGGGGAGGGGCAGAGAGAGAGGGAGACACAAAAUCCAAAGCAGGCUCCAGGCUCUGAGCUGUCAGCACAGAGCCCUACAGGGGGCUUGAACUCAUGAACUGUGAGAUCAUGACCUGAGCUGAAGUCAGAGGCUUAACUGAUGGAGCCACCAGGUGCCCCUGCACACCCAUGUUUAUUGCAGCCGUGUUCACAGUAGCAAAGCAGGGGAAACAACUCAAGAGACCAUAGGCCAAUGAAUGGGUAAACAAAUGUGGUCUGUACACCCAGUGGAAUAUCAUUCAGCUCUAACAAAGAUGGAAAUUCUGACCCAGGUUACCACAGGAAUGAACCUUGAGGACACUGUGCCAUAUGUGAAAUAAGUCUGUCCCAAAAAGACAGAUCCUGUACGAUUCCAUUCAUAUAAAGUUCCUAGAGUCAGAUUCAUAGAGAUAUAAAGUAAAAUGCCAUUUGCCAAGCACCUGGGGGAGAGGGAAGUGAGAGGUGUUGUUUCAUGGGGACAAAGUGUCAAUAAUGCUAGAUGAAGAGAGUUCUGGAGACCGAUGGUGGUGAUGGUCAUCCAAAACUGUGAAUGUACUUAGUGCUACUGAACUGUGCACUUAAAAGUGGUGAAGAAGGUAGUUUUCGUGUUAUGUUUAUUUUACCACAAUUAAAAAUAAAAUUAAAAGGCUAUCUACACAAUCUCAAGAACACUUGAAUAUUAAACAAUCCACUUUUAGUUAAGUGAUGAAUAAAAAAGCCACAAGGGAAUUUGAAAGUAUUUUGAACUGAAUAAUAGUGAAAACACAGCGUUUUGAAUUUGUGAGAAGCCAAGAGGCUUAGAGGAGAUUCAAAACCCUUACGAUGGUUAAUUUUCAUGUGUCGGCCAGAUUGGGCCACGGGGGCGCACAGACAUUUGGUCAAAGGGUAUUCUACGUGUGUCUGUGAGCGUGUUUGUGGGUAAAGUUAAUAUGUGGAAAAGAAAAGGUGGGGGGGGGGCGCCUUGGCUGGCUCAGUCAGUAGAGUGUCUGACUCUUGAUCCCACCAGUGGUGAGUUCAAGCCCCAUGCUGGGCAUGGAACCUACUUCAAAAACAAACAAACAAAAAACAUCUGACAAGGUAGCCUGAGUAAAGCUGAUUGUCCUCCCCAGCGGGGGAUCCAAUCAGUUGAAAACCUGAAGAGAAUAAAAAGCUGAAUAAGAGGGAACUUCAGUUGCCAGACUAUUUCAGCUGAGACAUCCGGUCUCCCAUCUUCAGACUGGAACUCACACCUGAGAGCUCUUCUGGUCCCAGGCCUUCAGACUCUGACCAGAACACCAUUGGCUCUUUGGGUCUCUAUGAUCAUGGGAUUUGCAAGCCUCUGUAAUCGUAAUCUUGUGAGUCAUUCCUUAUAAUGAAUCUCUUUAGACAUGCACACACAUAUACUCAUAUCCUAUUGGUUCUGUUUCUCUGGAGAGCCCCGCUAAUACAGCUCCAAACAGUUAUAUCAGAAAAGAAUAAACUUUGGGGUGUCUGACUGGCUCACUCAGAAGAGCAUGUGACUCUUGAUCUUAGGGUCGUGAGUUCAAGCCCCACAUUGGAUGUAAAGAUUAUAUAAAUAAAUAAAACAAAAAAAAAGAGAAAAGAAUAAACUCUUUUUUUUAAAGGAAUACUUUUCUCUGUUUUUUUAAAAAUGUUUAUUUAUUUUUGAUAGAGAGACAGAGCACAAGUGGGGGAGGGGCAGAGAGGGGGGAGACACAGAAUCUGAAACACACUCCAGACUCUGAGCUGUCAGCACAGAGCCUGACAUGGGGCUCAAGCUCACGAACCGUGAGAUCAUGACCUGAGCCAACGUUUAACUGACUGAGCCACCCAAGCACCCCAAGAAUAUAUUUUUAAUAAAGUACAGAACCAACUCGCUAAGGUCAGGUGGAAAGUUGAGAUUACUUGGUCCGGCAGUCUGUAUGUGGGAAGAGCCAGGUGAAUGCAGACAGCCAGGUUCCAGGAUCUAGGGCUUAACCCCCAGGCUGCAUCUCGGCUUAUGGUCCUACUGUUGGCUUGUGUCAGGCUUGCAGGGGACGUCAGUCAGAUGGAGGCCAGUGGUCAGGCUGACCCUAGGGGCGUGGUAUUCCCAAGGGCAGAAUUUGGACCGGUGGAUGGAGAACACCUCUAGCUGGCAAGGCAGAUUUGGGAUUGACAUACAGCAGAACGCAUGACAGGCGGGUGAGAUGGCAGUGAGUCCUUUGUCCCUGGACGUGUUCAAGAGCAAAGUCAGACACUAACUUGUCACUAUGCACAGGCAAACCCUAUAAUUAAUGUUCAAACCAGGAUUUAAUGAACACUCCUCAGGAAGCUAUCAUGUUCUGCCUAAUUUGUCUUGUUUUUUUUCAAGGAUUAUUUUUUGCAAGUUAUAAUUUUCUGGUUCUUGGUCUAAAGACUGAAGAUACUUUGUUUUUUUAUUAUUGAAAAAAAUUUUUGAUUUGUUUAUUUACUUUGAUAGAGAUGGAGACAGCAUGAGUGGGGGAGGGGCAGAGAGAAAGGGAGAGAGAGAAUCCCACACAGGCUCUGCUGUCAGUGCAGAGCCCAAUGUGGGGCUUGAACUGAUGAAACCGUGAGAUCGUGACCUGAGCUGAAACCAAGAGUCAGACGCUUAACCAACCGAGGCAUCCAGGUGCCCCAGACCAUGAGGAUAUUUUAAAUGGAACAUGGCCCAUUUCCCUGUCUGAAAAGAAACGUUUAAACAAACAAAAUGGUCUUGUCCUCAGGAGUAUGGAGAAGGCAUUCGGAUUUCACCCCAGUCUCAGCCCCCAAAUACAUCGGGCCCAGGCUCUGGGUCAGGCUCUGGGAUCACAGGCAUGUCACUCUACCUCUCUAGGUCUCAGUGCGCUCAUCUGUAAGAUAGGUAUAAUCAUAAAAGUGUGCAUUUGCUGGGUCUCUUAAAGCACCUUCCCAAUUGCUGUGUCCUGCGCUUUGAUUUUCAGCGAGGAUAAAAAGAUCACAGAGGAAAAGCAGCCUCUGAAAAGUAGAAAGCUGAGUGCACACAGAAGGUGUAAUUUUCUCCUGCCUGGGAGGGAAAGAAUCCUGAACUUUAGAGACGAAGCUUUAUGGGAUAACGUCUCUUCAGCAUCCGAAUGCAGCCCAUUUUUGGCAAAAGACGCAUUUAGUUCUGUGACAGGCAAACAUCUCAUCCCAGCUCAGGGAUCAGAAUUUGGCAUUUGAGAACAACAAAAUGUUUCAUGGCAGCAACUGGACAGCCUUUUUACUUUUUUUUUUUUUUUUUUAAUGACUAAUCUCCUUGGGUCGGUGUGUCCCUGGGCUAACCCUAGCAAAAUAAAACUGAGACUAAUUAGUGUAGAGGAGAUAAUACAGAUGGGACCAGUUCCUGUUUUCAUGGACAUCUCCAACCCAGAGAAUAAAAACAAGAAAAGAGUUCUGAUUUUUAAAAAUCACGUCCUUGGAAAUAUCCUUGGCAGUGGCCUGAAUGUCAGGAGAACUGGGUUUUAAUUCUCGCUCUACCAACCGAGUGGUUAUGUGACCCUUCAGAAGCUAUUUUCCUUGCUCGGUUUCCAAAUCCGUAGAGGGGAUUGGUUUUACUUACCUGCUGUGACAUACCCCCAGUUUCUGGCACAGAGCUCCUAAAACCCUUGUGAUUUCCUAUGUAAUAAUUGCACUAGGAACAUCUUUUGUUCUAAUAUUUGGUCUUUGACUCUGGUUCCUGACACAGAACUCCUAAGUCCCUUGGCACUUCCCGAAUGAUAGGAGUGUGUUUUGUUCUAGUGAGGUGACUCUUGGUGAUCUCUUGGCUAGCUUCAGCCGGGAGGCUGGUCCCCAGAAAGACCAAGCCAUGAUCAGAAGCUUAGAACUUUCUGUUCCCCCCACUCCCAAUCUUCCAGGGAGGGAAGAGGAGCUGGAGAUUGAAUUAAUGAUCAAUCACGCCUGCAUGAUGAAGCUUGAAUAAACACCCCAAAGCGGAGUGUUCAGAGAACUUCCGGGUCGCUGAACACAUCCAUGUACCAGGAGAAUGGCACACCACAAUUCAUGGGGACACUUGGGACUCUUCCUGACUUUGCCCCAUGCACCUCUUCAUCUGACCAUCCGUCUGUAGCCUCUAUACUAAACCAGUAAGUGUAAAUAAUUGUUUCCCUGUGUUCUGGAAGCCAUUCUAACAAAUUACCAAACCCAAGGAGGGGAUCAUGGGAACCUCAGUUUAGACCUGAUCAGUCAGAAGGGUAAGUGAGAAGCCGAACUCGUGACUGAUGUCUGAAGUAGGGGACGAUCUUGUGAGACUGAGCCCUUAACCUGUGGGAUCUGACACUAUUGUCCAGGUCCAUAGCAUCAGAAGUGAAUUGAAUUGUAGGACACCCAGCUGGUGUAGAAUUGCCCGAUGGGUGGAAAAUGCACACAUCUGGCACCAGAAAUGAAGUGAAGUGUGGUAGCAGUGUGAGAGUAAUGCAGAAGCACAGGAGUGCUUUGUCUAUACAGCUGCCGAGCUGUGAGGAGGGAAUUACAUUAGGAGAACAGUGCUAACCCUGCAAAGAGCUCACCACCCAGCGGAAAAGGUCCAUGCUUCUUGCUUUAGAAGCGUCCUCUGGGACACCGUCCCCCUUCCCCACCCCUACUUGACACUGGGUUGGGAGGUGUAUGAUGGGCCCCCAGAACAGCCUCUGUUUUCCACUAAGCUAGCGUGCACUCUGUUACUUUAAACUUUAUUGUAUUUUUGUUAACAACCAUUAGACACGUCCUUGCAAAAACCCAAACUCUGGGAAAAUACACAGGCGGAAACAAAAGCUCACCUACUCUUCCAUGCCCCAAAUGAAAGCCUUGGUGGUCAGCCUUCCCCGCUAGACUGUUCAAAGUUCUGGUCACCAGGUCUGAUAUAGGGCGGGAGUUGUGGGGGGGGUUCCCCCUACACCACCAAGCGAUGCUCCGAUGCCAGCCCAGCUGUCUUGGAAUCCACCGCAAUUCUGACGCUCUCUACCCGGGGGUAGUGCCAUCCCACAGGCUAAGGGCUCAGUCCCACCAGACUGGCUUCCAUUUCAGAUGCCAGUCGACAGUCCAGGUUGUCACCUGCGCUUGUGACCAGUUGGCUAUAAAUCAGAGGUUCCCACAACCCACUCCUUGAGUUUCUGUGAAUUUGCUAGGAGCAGGAAGCCCAUUUACUCACUUGAUAGUCGAUUUAUUACAGAGGAUAUUAAACGAUAUUUAUUACAAAGGAUAUUAUUUAUUACAAAGGAAAAAAUCAGGGCGCCUGGGUGGCGCAGUCGGUUAAGCGUCCGACUUCAGCCAGGUCACGAUCUCGCGGUCCGUGGGUUCGAGCCCCACGUCGGGCUCUGGGCUGAUGAUGGCCCAGAGCCUGGAGCCUGCUUCCGAUUCUGUGUCUCCCUCUCUCUUUGCCCCUCCCCCGUUCAUGCUCUGUCUCUCUCUGUCCCAAAAAUAAAUAAACGUUGAAAAAAAAAAAUUUAACAAAGGAAAAAAUCAGUCAAAUGAAGAAAUACCUGGGGUGAGGUGCCAGACGAAGGAACUUCUGUCCUCAUGGACUUUGGGGCACAUGGAAGCAUUCUGGUCCCCAACUUGGAAGCUGUGAAUCCCCUCCUUUUUUUUUUUUUUUUUUUCUUAAUGGAGGCUUCAUUACAUAGUUAAUUGAUUAAAUCAUUGACCGUUGGUGACUGAUUCACCCUCCAGCCCUUCUUCCUUCCCUGGAGGUCAGGGUGCCGGACUGAAAAUUCCAGCCCUCAAUUCCUGGUUGGUUCCCAUGGCAACCAGCCCCCACCCUUAGGUGCUUCCCAGAAGUUACUGCAUCACCUAAACCCACUUGUGGUGGAAAGGGGCUUGGGAACGACAAGACUCUCAUUUUACUGCAAGGGCUCUGAAGCAACGUUGGCAACUGAGGACCAGACACCAAAUACUGUGACCCGAGUUGCUCUUAUCGGUCAGGCAAUUUCAAGAGUCUGGGCAGCUGUGGGCCCGGAACUAUGGACACAGAGCAAGCAUACAUGAGAAAUACAUUUUGGUCAUCUGAAAGAUAAAAUACGCAUCUCCUGUAAGUUACACUAUCUCACAUGCUGUAAAAAACCCGAGACACCAUUCAAUCCUUCUCUGUAUGCCCAGUUCAUCCACUGGAGGAGUAACUAUAAGGACACUCAACAAACAUCUACUAAGUGAAUCAGCACUCCGUUGACUUCAUUGUUUGUUUGUUUGUUUGUUUGUUUGUUUCUAAAGCAUGCUGUCUGCAUGAAUAGAUGUCUAAAGCUAAUCUUUCAUAUAGUUACAAGAGCUUACAAUCAUUUUGUUGACAUUGUGGCAAAAAUUCAAUGGAGGAAAUUUUCAAAAGAUCUUACUGGCUUUAUUCAGUGAUUCGGGGAUUAGGCAACAUCCCAUCUAGCAGAUAGAAAGGAGCUGUACAAAAUGAAAGAUUUUUACAGGACGAAGGGAGGGGGAAGAGGGAAAUUCUACUAGGCAAAAAAGCAGGUUGGUUAAUUGCAAGGUUACUUUCCUACAGGGGAAAGAGGGUCAGAGAGCCUGUGCUAUCAGCACAGAGCCCGACGCGGGGCUCAAACUAGUGCCAGUGCUGAUCAGGCAAUUCCUGAUGGGAUGAAAAUGUAACUAACUUUUUCAGGGCCACACAGCCAAAGGUAGGUAGCAGAGUCGGGAUCUGGCCAGCAUGUGCAAAGGCCAUCGGAGUGAGCAUUAUCCCGGAUGCCUAGGUGGCUCAGUCAGUUAAGCAUCCAACUGUUGAUUCUGGCGCAGGUCAUGAUCUCACAAGUUUCUGGGUUCGAGCCCUACAUUGGGCUCUGCACUGACUGAGCAGCUGCUUGGGAUUCUCUCUCUCCUUCUCUCUCUGUCCCUUCCCCACUUUGCACAGGCAGGUAUGUGCUCUCCCUCCCUCUCUCUCUCUCAAAAUAAAUAGAUAAAUAUUUUUUAAAAACGUAAUCAGUAUCCAAAUGUGGGCAGUAGGAGUGGUCUGCUCUAGGUGCAGGUAGUAAGAGGAUGUAUCGUCUACAGAGCAUUUAAAAUCAGUAAUAAAAAUGGACUGAAUGAAGGUCUCUGCUUUUUAUUAUCACCACACACAGGCCCUAUUAAACAAUGUCAGUGCAUAUUUAUUAUGUAUCACAGUGAUCAAAUCCACAAAUCCUGGGAAACACAGCUGUGGGUCUGAGUUCUGAGGAAUUGCAGUGGCUACUACUGAGGGUUUAAAAAAAUCUUUGUGUGUGUGGCCAAUACACAUAACAUAAAAUGUAUCAUCUUCGCCAUGUUAUGUCUAUCCACAUUGUUCGGCAAAUAAUAUCCAGACUUUCUCUUCUUGCAAAAUGGAAACUCUGUCCCCAUUACAUAACUCUCUGCCCCCCUCCCCCAGCCCCUGGAAGCCACCAACUCUGCUCUCUGUCUCUGUGAGCUUGACUACUGUAGGGACCUCAUGUACAUGAAGUCACACAGUAUUUGGAUUUUGUGACUGGCUUAUGUCACUUACAGUGUUCAUCCAUGUUGUAGCAUGUGUUAGAAUUUCCUUCCUUUUUAUUUAUUAUUAUUAUUUUUUAAUUUUUUUAAUGUUUAUUUACUUUCGAGAGACAGAGAACACACACACACACACACACACACACACACGAACACACAUGCCACGCAUGCAAGUGGGGGAGGGGCAGAGAGAGAUAGAGACACAGAAUCUGAACAGGCUCCAGGCUCUGAGGUGGCAGCAUGGAGCCUGAUGUGGGGCUCGAACUCACGAGCCACGAGAUCAUGACCUGAGCUGAAGGCAGAUACUUAACCUACUGAGCCACCCAGGUGCCCCUGAACUUCUUUCCUUUUUGAAACUUGGAUAAUAUUCCACUGUAUGUUUCUGCUAUAUUUUGCUUACCCAUUCACCUGUUGCACACUGAGGACAUUCAUCUGUGGAACAUUUAGGUUGCUUUUACCUUUUGGUUAAAAGUUAUCGUGAAUAGUGUUGCUAUGAACACGAGUGUACAAAUAUCUAUUUGAGUCCCUGCUUUCAGUUGUUGGGGUAAAUACCCAAAAGUGGAAUCGCGGGAUUAUCUGGUAGAUCAAUUUUUAACUUUUUGAGGAAACACCAGACUGUUUCCAUAUUGGCCGCACCAUUUUACAUUCCCUCUGGCCGUGCACAGGGUUCCAAUUUCCCCACAUCUUCAUCAACACUUGUGGUUUUGUGUGUGUGCGUGCGAGUGUUAUUUUUAUAGUAGCUGAUGGGUAUGAAGUACUAUCUCAUUGUAGGUUUUCAUUUGCAUUUCCCCAGUGAAUAGUGAUGUUGAAAAUCUUUUCACAUGCAUGUUGGCAAUUUACAGAUCUUCUUUGGAGAAAUGUCUAAGUCUCUUGCCCGUUUUUUAAAUUGGGUCACUUGUUUCGUUUUUGUUGUUGAGUUAUAGGAAUUUUUUGUGUAUUCUGGAUGUUAACCCCUUGUGAGUAUAUGCUUUGCAAAUAUUUCAUUCCAUUGUGAAGGUUGCCUUUUCACUCUUUUGAUCAUAACUUUUGAUGCAUAGAAGUUUUAAAGUUUGAUGUAGUCCAAUUUGUUUUUACUUUUGGUGCCUGUGCACUAUGGAAUUUUGGUAACAUAUAUGCUCUAAAAUAACACAUUUACAAAACUGACGUUUUAAUAAAACACUAGGAGUUGGUUUUUUUUUUUUUUCCAGAAAACUCCUAGUUACACAGUUGGCUCCCCAGAUACAUGGAUUUAGCUCAUGUGUUUGUUCCCAGAGUAAAUUUGUAACUUUUUGGGCAUCGUUUGAAUUUGCUUCAGGGACAGUGCUUGUCUGCAGCCCCUAAGGCAAUACACGUUCCUGUGUUUAAAUGGUAACUUCAAAAUAGACAAUGAUAGUACAGUGACUGUGAAGACAAAGAAAAAAACCCUUUUUUGUGAUUCAGCCGUUCUAAGCCACUUAGAAUUCUUAUUUGGUUUAAAUUUUAUUUUAGUAUUUUAAAUGUUUAUUUUUGAGAGACAGAGAGAGAGAGAGAGCAUAAGCAGGGGAGGGGCAAAGGGAGAGAGGGACAGAGGAUCUAAAGUUCCCUCCACACUGACAGCAGAGAGCCCGAUGUGGGGCUUGAACCCCUGAACCGUCAGAUCAAAGUCAGAUGCUUAAUCAACUGAGCCACCCAGGCACCCCUGGUUUAAAUCUUAAAAUGUGAGAUAGAGAGAGAGAGUGCAAGCACAAGUGGGGGAGGGGCAGAGAGCAGGAGAGAGAAUCCUAAGCAGGCUCCACACUGUCAGCACAGAGCCUGAUGCAGGGCUUGAUCUCAGGAGGUCAUGACCUGAGCCGAAACCAAGAGUCAGACGCUUAAGCCACUGAGCCACCCAGGCGCCCUGCAAGGGGUGAUAUUUUUGGUAAGUGCAAGUCUAACCUCAUACUUGAACUAUUCUACUGAAUCUCCACAUUAGCCUGAAAUGGAAAUUUAUUUUUUUCAUUGUCUACUUUUUACUUAUUAUUUAGUGGCCAGUAUACUACUCUCACAUUAUUCAUUAUUGCAAUAGGCCACUAUGUAAAUGUAAGUUUAAAAAACAACAACACACAUCAGUGGCUAUGAUCUGUGUUGCCUGUUCAGGCACCUGAGUGGACUGGCCCGGCUGGCUGGGUGGAUUUGGGAAGCCAGGAGCAGGCUCUGCCCUCCUCCAGGUUUGGUGCCCUGGAGGAUUCCCUUUCGUGUCCAGCCAGGGCUGCCCGAGGCAGGCUCGGCUGGCUGGGCUGACAUACAUGCGCCUGGGCUCCUGAGGGUCUCUGAGUGUGGAGCUGCAAUCAGUCCAGGGCUUGGGGACCAGGGGCUCCAGCAGCCCAGGGGAAGCUGAUGGGCUGAAAGAAACGCCCACUGAUCCUGAUGGAGGAUGAAUGCGGCCCGUGUGAGAAGACCUUCCCGAAUGACAGUAAAUGCACAAACAGAUGUUGGAUCCCACGAGCAGGCAGCUUGUCUGCACACAGAUAAAGAACAGCAAUUUCUGUAAUUAAAUAGCAUGAUUAUUUCACACAAGACGAUGUUUUGGAAAUCGUUUUGCAAAGGCUGAAGCCAUGCCACUGCUCCCAGCCUCUUUUUUAAAAUAAUUAUUUAAAAAAAAUUUUUUUUGAUAUUCAUUUAUUUUUGAGACAGGGAGAGACAGAGCAUGAACGGGGGAGGGUCAGAGAGAGGGAGACAGAGAAUGUGAAGCAGGCUCCAGGCUCCGAGCUGUCAGCACAGAGCCUGACAUGGGGCUUGAACUCACGAACUGUGAGAUCAUGACCUGGGCCAAAGUUGGAUGCUGAACCGACUGAGCUACCCAGGCGCCCCUAAAAUUAUUAUUUUUUUUUUCAACGUUUAUUUUAUUUUUGGGACAGAGAGAGACAGAGCAUGAACGGGGGAGGGGCAGAGAGAGAGGGAGACACAGAAUCAGAAACAGGCUCCAGGCUCUGAGCCAUCAGCCCAGAGCCCGACGCGGGGCUCGAACUCACGGACCGCGAGAUCGUGACCUGGCUGAAGUCGGACGCUUAACCGACUGCGCCACCCAGGCGCCCCUAAAAUUAUUUUUUUAAUAUAAGAGGGUGACAGUCCUUUUUUUUUUCCUUUAAGUUGUUUAUUUAUUUUGAGAGAGAGAGAAAGGGAGAGAAGUGCGGGGGAGGGGCAGAGAGCAUCCCAAGCAGGCUCCGCACUGUCAGUGUGGAGCCUGAUGCAGGGCUCUAACUCACGACGGGUGAGAUCAUGACCUGAGCUGAAAUCAAGAGUCAGAUGCUUAACCGACUGAGCCACCCAGGCGCCCAUCUUUCUUAAUUUUUAAGUGUCUAAAAUGCUGAGUUUUCCUGCUCAGAGAUGCCCGAAAGUUCAUGUUGAGUCCCCCUUUCCUAAAUUUCCAGGGACCCACAACCAAAACCUAGCUGCAGCCUCAUGCAACACGAAGCCACUGCUGCUGCAGAUGUGCCCACAAGUGUGUCACAGGGCAGGCACACUCAGCACGAGGGUGCUCCAAAGUACACACUUCUACUCCAAAGCCAGAGGGGAAACACAGAAAUCACCAGGGGCAACAUAAAGGGGGAGCCUAUAAAUUAAAAGCUCAUUUCAACCAACUGCAACGUAUCUGAAUCUUACUUGGAUCCUGAUUCUUCAAAAAAAUUCUUCGAAUGUUUUUAUUUUUGAGAGAGACAGAGCAUGAGUGGGGGAGGGGCAGAGGGAGAGGGAGACACAGAAUCUGAAGCAGGCUCCAGGCUCCGAGCUGUCAGCAUAAAGCCCGGUGCAGGGCUCGAACCCACAAGGGCCCGAAACCACAAAGCGCAGGAUCAUGACCUGGGCCGAAGUCAGACGCUCAACCAACUGAGCCACCCAGGCGCCCCAGAUCCUGAUUCUUAAAACACACACUGGGGGAAAAAUGUGACAUUCGUGACACAGUUGGAAAUUUGAACUGACUGGAUAUAACCGAGGAAUUAUUGUUAGUCUUUUAGAUGAUAAUAGUAUUGUGGUUAUAGUGUACAUAUCAAAGGGUCCUUCUCUCUUAGAGAUACAUGUGUUAAAAUACAGAGGAAAUGACAGGCUCUCCUGGAUUUGUUUCAGAACGAUAUGGGGACAUUCAGCCUGGGGUUGUCUACAGAAGACACCGGACUGGCCGUGGACUGUUAUCAAUGGAGUUCAGUAUACUACCCUAUCUACUAUUGUGAAUGUUUGAGAUUCUCCACUGCAAAAUUAAAAAAAAAAUUGUUGCGGAGUGAUAGUGGAUAGGCUCGAAUAACAACAUCCCACUAGGAAGAAAAUUACUUGCCUUUUAAAUGAUCGCUCAACCCUCAUCUGCUCAAGAGCGAGGCCCUUUCAUUGGGCCCGUCUGUGAUCCUGUCUCGUGCUUGAUCGUGGCCCCACCCGGGAGAUGUAGGCCUUGGGCCCUAAGCCUUUGGCGGGGGAAACAGCGUCUGUUAGUAACUUAAUGGCUUCCCUUUGCUUCGUUGUAUUUAUUUUUUGGCUACCUCUAUUUUGGCAACUAUUUUGGUUUCCUAUUUACAGAAGUGACAAAGUUUUCUUCUUAAAUGUAUGUAAACAAUUUGAUUUAAAGACAAGAAAUAGCACAGGUGGUACUCAGAUAUUGUAGGACUUUUUUUAGGGUGGCAGGAAAUGACAAGUACGGGAGGCACCAAUGCAGUCACAGGAAACAUACAACCGUCUUAACAAAAUCCCGGGUCCCUUCCAUCUGGGAGGUUCUCUGUGCCUGGGGCAAGAUGGUCUGCUCAGGCCUACUGUCUCCCUGAAUUUCAGACGAAGCACCCGACACACAGAAGGGAGGCCGAUCACACAGGGAAGGCUGGCUGCCAGAACGGACCCCAGCUGGGCAUCAGACGCCAUCCACUACCAGGUUCGGAACCAACUAAAACGAGGGAGGGGGUGAGUGCAAGGACAGCGUAAAGGGGAAAAUCUUAAAGGGGGAAACUAUUUUUAUCCACCGUUUUGUUUCCCAUUGGUUGUUUUCUGCUGGGGACAUUUCCUAACUGCCUUAAGUGAAGCAAACAGGCGGUCAGCAAGCGGUGUUUACCCAGAUUAUUCAGUUGGGGCUCUUUGUAUGUUUGUUUUUGUGUAAUUAAACUUUUGAUAUCUUUAUAAUUAAAAAAUUUUUUAAUGUUUUUAGUUUAUUUUUGAGAGAGAGAGAGACAGACAGACAGAGCAUGAGCGGGUGAGGGGCAGAGACAGAGGGAGACACAGAAUGAGAAACAGGCUCCAGGCUCUGAGCUGUCAGCACAGAGCCCGACGCAGGGCCUGAACUCAUGAAUGGUGAGAUCAUGACCUGAGCCAAAGUCGGAUGCCUACCCGACUGAGUCACCUAGGCACCCCAAACUUUUUAUAGUUUUUAUUUUUUAAGAUAAUUUUAUUCAUUAUUAUUAUUUUUAAGCUUAAUUUUUAAAGUUUCUUUUGAGACAGAGAGGGAAAGCAGGGGAGGGGCAGAGAGGGAGGGAGACACAGAAUCCCAAGCAGGCACUCCGCUGUCAGUACAGAACCCGACACUGGGCUCAAACCCACCCACCAUGAGAUCAUGACCCCAGCUGAAACCAAGAGUCAGAAGCUCAACGAACUGGGCACCCAGGUGCCCCGAAGAUCAUUUUAGAGCCACCUGCAGUAGGAAAUAAUACAGAAGGAUCCCACGCACCCUUACCCACCGAUGGACUGCAACCAGAAAGCUGACACGGAUGCAGUCACGAUACAGAACAUUUUCAUCACCGCGAGCAUCUCCCCUGUUGUCCUUUUAGAGUCACAUCACCCCCAGGCCCACUUGGCCAGACCCUCAGCCUUGGCAGUCGCUCGUCAGCUCUCCGUUUCUAGAAUCUUGCCACUUCAAGAUGUCGUAUGGAUGAAAUCAAACAGUAUGAAACCUUUGGGGACUGGCUUUUUUCCACUUAGUGAAAUUCCCUGGAGAUUCACCUGAGAUGUUGCAUGUAUCAACAGCUUGCUCCUUUACUACGAAGUGGUAUCGCAUGCCAUGGGUGGGUCACAGUCUGUCUAACCGUCAUCCCCGGAAGGACCCCUGUGCUGUUGCCAGUUUCGGGUUACUCUGAAUAAAGCUGCUA
rnacentral:lncRNA from 1 species